UACGUAGGGUGCAAGCGUUAAUCGGAAUUACUGGGCGUAAAGCGUGCGCAGGCGGUUUUGUAAGCCAGAUGUGAAAGCCCCGGGCUUAACCCUGGGAAUGGCAUUUGGGGACUUGCAAGGCUGGAGUGUGGGCAGAGGAGACUGGAAUUCCUGGUGUAGCAGUGAAAUGCGUAGAUAUCAGGAGGAAUACCGAUGGCGAAGGCAGGUCUCUGGCUGGACACUGACGCUCAUGCACGAAAGCGUGGGGAGC
rnacentral:rRNA from 1 species